rnacentral:lncRNA from 1 species
UGCCAGGAGCAUUUUUCAUAGAACUAGAACAAAUAAUUCUAAAACUUGUACAGAAACACAAAAGACAUCAAUAGUCAAAGCAAUCUAGAGAAAGAAGAACAGAGCUGGAGAUAUCACACUCCCAUACUUCAGGCUAUACUACAAAGCUACCAGUAAUCAAAACAGUAUGGUACUGGCACCAAAACUUAAACACAGAUUAAUGGAACAGAAUAGAAAGGCCAGAAAUAAACUCUCACAUUUACGUCAAAUAAUCUAUGACUAGGGAAAAGAUUAUACAAUGGGGAAAAGACAGUUUCUUCAAGUAGUGGUGCUAGGAAAACUGUACAGCCACAUGUAAAACAAUGAGAUUAAAACUCCUUCCACUAAAUAUUAACUCAAAAACCUAAAUGUAAGACCUGAUAUCAUAAAAAUUCUAGAAGAAGACACAGGCAGAACACUCUAUGACAUAAAUCAUGGCAAUAUUUUUUUGGAUCUGACUCCUAAGGCAAAGAAAAAAACCAAAAUGGACCAAAUUGGACUUAACUUUUGCACAUCAAAGGAAAUCAUAAGCAAAACAAGAAGAAAAUCCACUCAAUAGGAGAAAAUAUUUGCAAAUGAUAUGACAGAUAAAGUGUUAAUAUCCAAAAUAUAUCAACGCUCAUACAACUCAAUAUCAAAGUAACAACUCAAAAAAUGGGCCAAAGAGCCAAAUUUGACAUUUUUCCAAAGACCUACAGAUGGCCAAGAGGCACAUGAAAAGAUGUUCAAUAUCACUACUCCUCAGAGAAAUGCAAAUCAAUACUACAAUGAGGUGCCACCUCACACUGAUCAGAAUGGCUAUCAUUAAUAAGACUACAAAUAACAAAUGCUGGAGAGGGUAUAGAGAAAAGGGAACCCUCCUGUUCUGUUGAUGGGAAUGUAAACUUGUAUCAUCACUAUGGAAAGCAGUACAGAGCUUCCUCAAAGAACUAAACAGAACUACCGUAUGAUCCAGGAAGUUUACUCUUGGGUAUAAAUUUGUAGAAAAUGAAACCACUAAUUCAAAAAGAUACAUGCAUUCUAAUAUUCACAGUAGCAUUUUUUAUAAUAGACAAGAUAUGAAAGCAACCUAAGUGUCCAUCAACAGAUGAACGCAUAAAGAUGUGGUGUGUACACACACACACACAGGAAUGCUACUCAGCCACAAAAAGGAAUGGAAUGUUUCCAUUUGCAACAACAUGGAUGGACCUGGAGGGGAGUAUGCUUAGUGAAGUAAGUUAGACAAAGACAAAUAUUGCAUGUAUUGCAUGUUCUCACUUCUAUGUGAAAUAUAAAAUAUAGAGUAAAUGAAUGAAUAUAACAAAACAGGAAUAGACUCAUAGACACAGAAAACAAACUAAUGGUUACCAAUGGGGAGACGGGAAGGGGCAAAAUAGAGGUAGGUGAUUAAGAAGCACAAACUUCUGUGUAUAAAAUAAGUAAGCUUCAAGGAAGUACUGUAUAACACAGAGACUAUAGCCAACAUUUUACAAUAACUUUAAAUGGAAUACAGUCUAUAAAAAUGUCCAAUCACUACGUUGUAUACAAACCAAUAUAAUAUUAUAAAUCAACUAUAUAUCAACUUAAAAAAUGAAAAGGGAGACAUAAUACAAAUACAGGGAAGAUUAAUGAUCGCUAAAAAGUAAGCCAUCAAAAUUAAGAAAUAAAGAAAAAUCAAUGGGAGCUCCCAUUGUGGCUCAGCAGGUUACAAACACGACUAGUAUCGAUGAGGAUGAGGGUUCAAUACCUGGUCUUACUCAGUGGGUUGGGGAUUCUGCAUUGCUGUGGCUGUGGGGUAGGCCAGCAGCUGCAGCUCCAAUUUGAUCCCUAGACUGGGAACUUGCAUAUGCCACAGGUGUGGCCCUAAAAAGAAAAAGAAAGAAAAAUCAAUAACCAUUACCAAAAAAAAAAAAAUUACAAAAAACCUUUCCUAUGUAGGUACUAUUAUCUCUAUUUUACAGAUAAAGAAACUGAGUGCCAGACAGAUUAAGUAACUUGUUCAAGUUUCCACCACCAUCAAUCACAUCAUCAUGCUAUACCCCACCUGGUCCAUGCUAGCCUUGUGGGCAUCAAAGAAGAUGACCCUGGUCUUCCACAGGAUGCUCAGAAUCUUUAAAAUACUCUUUCUGAAAAUAUAAAAACUGAGUUUAUGGGACAAAAACAAAUUGACAACCUCCUAAUUACUAUCAUUGUUUCCCCACUGUCCCUUGGUUUUCUCUUUCUACUUGGAUUAUUUUUUCUUUUGUUUUUGAUGCUCUUUAGCAUUUCUACAUGACAUAGCAGGGAUGAAAUUUAGUUUUGCUUCUUGUGUACGAAGAGCUAGGUGGAAGAGAAAGAAGAUUGCCCAGGAUGAAAUGCAUUUAACUUGUUAAAGCAAAAGGAGAUUAAGUCAUCAUAAUCACGUUAAAAUGGGUAACUAGAUAGAAUUUCUAUUAAAGCAGUCCCUCUGGAAGUCCUUGCCACUGGACAUGUUAGUGAAACUGACAUGGAGCAAGAUUCUCUUUCCAUCUCAGUGAAAAACCAUAGCCCCUUCAAUAGUAUCCAAAAUAGACUUAAUCAUUAUUGCCUUGUAUUUUUUAAACAGCGUUACUGAAGAAUAAUUGAUGUAUAAGUUUGUACAUUUUGAUAUAUAUAUAAACAACUGUGGAACCAUUAGUACAGUCAAGACUGAUGAAUUUACAGUAGAAAUUGAUACAACAUUGUAAAUCAACUAUACUUCAGUUAAGGAAAAAAAAAAGAUAAUGAACAUUUCCACCGCUAUUGAGUUUCUUCCUACCCCUUUUCUAAUCUCUCCCUCCUGCCCUUUCCUGCACCCCCUUCCCCCAUCACCCACUGAGUAUUUUCUGACACUUUGGAUUCACAUGCAUCUUUUGGAAUUUUAUGCAUAUGAAAUAUGUAUAUUGUAUAUAUUCUUUGCGGGGGUCGGUGGUUUAUUCAUGUUGUUGCAUGUAUCAAUAGUUUAUUCCUUUUUAUUGAAAGCAGUGCUCCAGUACAUGACGAUACCAUAAUUUGUUAACCCAUUCCCCUUUUGAUGGACACUGUGGUCUUUUCAGCUUUUGGCUAUUACAAAUAAAGCUACUAUGACCACUCAUGCACAAGUGAACAAAAUGCUGUUGUUCAGAGUGUCCACUCAUUUCAGAAUGGACAUAUGCUUUCAUGUCUCUUGGAUAAACACUUGAAUAGAAGAGCUUAAUCAUAGACAUUUAUGUUUAAUUUUUAAACUUCUUUCCAAAGUGGUUGUGGUUGUACAAUUUUACAUUCCCACGAGGGAUGUAGGAGAGUUUUAGUUAUCUCAUAUUCCAACCAAUACUUGAUAUGGUCCAACUUCUUAGUUUUAACUAUUCUAAUAGGUAUAGGACUAAUAAUGUGCAUCUUUUCAUGUAUUUAUUUGCCAUUUGUAUUUUUUGUUGUUAAGUACAUCUGUUUCAAAUCUGCACAAAUCUUUUAUCCAUUUGUUAAACUGAUUGUGUAUUUUUUCUUAUUAUUGUUUCUUGACAGUGCUUUAUAUAUUCUGGUUACAAGUUCUUUAUUAGAUUUUAGACCACACAAAGAUGCUCAUGUCUUGAUCCCCAGAACCUGUCAACAUGUUACCUCAUAUGGCAAAAAGGACCUGGCUGAUGUGAUUAAGGACCUUGAGAUGGAAAAUUACCCUGGAUUAUCUAGGGGGCCAUAUAUGUAAUCACAAGAGCCAUUGUAAAAAGGAGGCAAAAGGGUCAGUGUGGGAGAAAGACAUCGAUGUG